rnacentral:pre_miRNA from 1 species
AAUAGGAGAAUGACAAAUCAGAUUUUUUCUCCUGAUUUUUAACUUUUCCUAAUGAAAAAUUCAAAUUCAAUUAAAAAUACUAAAAAUUAAGAGGAAAAAUCUGAUUUUUCGUUCUUCUAUU